AGAGUUUGAUCCUGGCUCAGAUUGAACGCUGGCGGCAUGCUUUACACAUGCAAGUCGGACGGCAGCACAGAGAAGCUUGCUUCUUGGGUGGCGAGUGGCGAACGGGUGAGUAAUAUAUCGGAACGUACCGAGUAAUGGGGGAUAACUAAUCGAAAGAUUAGCUAAUACCGCAUAUUCUCUGAGGAGGAAAGCAGGGGACCUUCGGGCCUUGCGUUAUUCGAGCGGCCGAUAUCUGAUUAGCUAGUUGGUGGGGUAAAGGCCUACCAAGGCGACGAUCAGUAGCGGGUCUGAGAGGAUGAUCCGCCACACUGGGACUGAGACACGGCCCAGACUCCUACGGGAGGCAGCAGUGGGGAAUUUUGGACAAUGGGCGCAAGCCUGAUCCAGCCAUGCCGCGUGAGUGAUGAAGGCCUUAGGGUUGUAAAGCUCUUUUGUCCGGGACGAUAAUGACGGUACCGGAAGAAUAAGCCCCGGCUAACUUCGUG
rnacentral:rRNA from 1 species